rnacentral:lncRNA from 1 species
UAGUAUAAUUUGGUAUCAAAUUGAUUGAAAUGAAUUGGUUGGUUGGAUUGGUCUUGGUUUUAAAAUUUGCAGGGAAGGUUAGAUAUUUAUAAAGGGGUUAUAUUGAGCAAAAAAAAAACUUUGGGAUUUUGCGAAAAAUUCCCUAUGGUUUCGAUUUAAUUCUAGUUUGGUCUCGAAGUAUGUUUUGGGCUUUGGAGGCCCAUCUAAAGGACGCCAUGACAUGUUUUAGUAAAUGAAUAGUAUUUAACUCGUAUUAAUGGAAAAUUAAUUCGGUAAACUCCGGUAAUGCCUCCUACCCUAUUCCGGCGACGAAUACGGGUAAGGGGUGUUACA